GACGAACGCUGGCGGCGUGCUUAACACAUGCAAGUCGAACGGAAAGGCCCUGCUUUUGUGGGGUGCUCGAGUGGCGAACGGGUGAGUAACACGUGAGUAACCUGCCCUUGACUUUGGGAUAACUUCAGGAAACUGGGGCUAAUACCGGAUAGGAGCUCCUGCUGCAUGGUGGGGGUUGGAAAGUUUCGGCGGUUGGGGAUGGACUCGCGGCUUAUCAGCUUGUUGGUGGGGUAGUGGCUUACCAAGGCUUUGACGGGUAGCCGGCAUGAGAGGGUGACCGGCCACAUUGGGCCUGCGAUACGGCGCAGACUCCUACGGGAGGCAGCAGUGGGGAAUAUUGCACAAUGGGCGGAAGCCUGAUGCAGCAACGCCGCGUGCGGGAUGACGGCCUUCGGGUUGCAAACCGCUUUCGCCUGUGACGAAGCGUGAGUGACGGUAAUGGGUAAAGAAGCACCGGCUAACUACGUG
rnacentral:rRNA from 1 species